rnacentral:misc_RNA from 1 species
GAUGAAGAACGCAGCGAAAUGCGAUAAGUAAUGUGAAUUGCAGUAUUCAGUGAAUCAUCGAAUCUUUGAACGCACCUUGCACCCUUUGGCAUUCCGAAGGGUAUGCUCGUUUGAGUGUCAUUGUACUCUCACACUCUCCGAUCCUAUGGAUUCGGGGAGCGGUGGACUUGGGUGUUGCUGCCUUUCCCUGUGGCUCACCUCAAAUGCGUCAGUGCACCUCUUGGUUGGACAUAGUACGGCGUGAUAAGUGUCUUCGCCGGCACCUCGCAAGAGGGUGGCCGAUCGGGAGCUCUGCGCUUUCAAACCGUCUUCGGACAAUUUCUGACAUCUUGACCUCAAAUCGAGUAGGACUACCCGCUGAACUUAAGCAUAUCAAUAAGCGGAGGA